rnacentral:lncRNA from 1 species
UUUUACAAGUGUUUUUUUUAUAGAUAUUUAACUUUGUGCUUGAUUCGUCAUCUAAAUAAUGGCAUGCACGUGCCGUAAAUCAAAUGUUCGUAACAUAAAAUAUAUCAAGCCUAGAAAAACAAUAUAUGAAAACACAAUUGACAUAAGCAAGAAAAUGAAUAGUAUAUUUAAGCUAUGAUUUAAAUAUACAAAGGGAUAGUGGGGAGUAUAUACUAUAUAAGCACUUCUACAAAUCCAUUUGGAAUCACAUUUUUGAUUCCUUUGUUAGACAAUGGCCAACUCAAAGCAACUAACAUGCUUAAUAAUUAUGUUGAUGCUUUUAUUUAUAAAGUUGGAAAGUCGUUCACUUGAUGCAUUCAUGGAUAGUAACAAGAACAAGAAGAUCUCAUCCAAGGGUUGUUGCCAACAACUUAUUCAAAAAUCACAGUUUCUGAAAGCAAGUUUUGCAAAAGUAGGCUUUAAAUUUCGAAGUCUCUAUGACUCCAAUCGACUUAGUCCUCAAGGGCCAGACCCCAGACACCACUGAUUUCUUCUCUUAUGAAUAUAUAUGUCUAUUUUCACACUAAUUUAAUUAAGGGUCCAAUGUUGUAUUGGUUAUUUAUUUCCAAUGAAGUUUUAUAUUUGUAAUUGACAUGCAAGUAAUUAUAAUCCAGAUGUAUUUUAUAUACAGUAUCACCAUUCUUAUAAUUAUGAUACAGUUAUUUACUCGUCAAUUUGUCAUAUAAAAUAUGAUUUAUGUUGUUGUGUUUUCCUUUUUUUUAAAGCAUUUUCCAUUGUGUAACACGUUUAGACUUAAAUUUAUGAGAGGAGAUUAUAUUGCCUAAAUUAAGAAUACACAGUUGAUUUUCU